rnacentral:sRNA from 12 species
GAGCGCGCAAGUGCGUGCUCACCACAACACAAGGGAGUCGCCCGGGUCUCCCUGCCUGGGCGACUCUUCC